rnacentral:sRNA from 1 species
UCAUGCUGCGGGACGAAGCCACCAUCCUCACGGGAAUGCUGAUCGGACUGAGCGCCAUCGACUUCAGCUUCUGUCUAAAGGGGGAAGUCCUGGAUGGGAAGACCCCCGUGGUCAUCGAUUACACGCCCUACCUAAAGUUCACGCAGAGCUACGACUACCUGACGGACGAGGAGGAGCGGCACAGCGCCGAGAGCAGCACGAGCGAGGACAACUCGCCCGAGCACCCGUACCUGCCGCUCGUCACCGACGAGGACAGCUGGUAUAGCAAGUGGCACAAGAUGGAGCAGAAGUUCCGCAUCGUCUACGCGCAGAAGGGCUACCUGGAGGAGCUGGUGCGUCUGCGCGAGUCGCAGCUGAAGGACCUGGAGGCGGAGAACCGGCGGCUGCAGCUGCAGCUGGAGGAGGCGGCGGCGCAGAACCAGCGCGAGAAACGGGAGCUGGAAGGCGUGAUCCUGGAGCUGCAGGAGCAGCUGUGAGCGCACGGCCUGCCCUAACCCCUGACCCCGGCCGCCCCGACCACAUCACCGGGUGAACCCCAUGUUCACUUCCACCGACUCUAACAUCACCCGACACGAG